ACAUAUGUGCUCGCCUUCACACUCUUCAUCCACUCAACCCCUGUGCACUUUAUCAGAGUUAGUAAUAGUAUUGUGGUGGCGGCCAUUUGUUGUUAUUCAUUGUUAGAAGCGGGGGUAACCCUGUCUGGCAAUAGUAAUGAUAAUAAUCUUGGUUCUACUACUACUACUACUAUGAACACUUUGACUUUUAUUUAUACAAACACUUUGCUUGUUCUUGUGAAUGUGUAAUGCUCCUUGUGAGCGAAAUACAAAUAUACAACUUUCAACAACGGAUCUCUUGGCUCUCGCAUCGAUGAAGAACGCAGCGAAAUGCGAUAAGUAAUGUGAAUUGCAGAAUUCAGUGAAUCAUCGAAUCUUUGAACGCACCUUGCGCCCCUUGGUAUUCCGAGGGGCAUGCCUGUUUGAGUGUCAUGUAAUUCUCAAUCCUCUUCUUCUUAACUGAAGAAAAAGAGGCUUGGACUUGGAGGUAUACACAAGCUGGUACUGUUUGGUAUCGGCUCCUCUCAAAUACAUUAGCUGGACUGUAGUUCGCGUUGUUUGGUGUAAUAGUUCUAUCUUAUUUCACUACAGUGCUUACUUAGACGGGUCUGCUUCCAAUAGUCCGCCUAUGUGU
rnacentral:misc_RNA from 1 species